rnacentral:rRNA from 1 species
AAUUUCCGGGGCUAAAACUUACUACCGAAGCUACGGCAUCAUUAUGAUGGGUAGGGGAGCUUUCUAUACGGGUUGAAGCAUGACCGUAAGGACAUGUGGACUGUAUAGAAGUGAGAAUGUUGGCAUGAGUAGCGAGAUGUGGGUGAGAAUCCCACAGGCCGUAAACCCAAGGUUUCCAGGGGAAGGUUCGUCCGCCCUGGGUUAGUCAGGACCUAAGCCGAGGCCGAAAGGCGUAGGUGAUGGACAACAGGUUGAUAUUCCUGUACCACCAAUAACCGUUUGAGAAAUGGGAUGACACAGUAGGAUAAGCUAACCGCACUGUUGGUUAUGUGCGGGCAAGUAUUGAGGCAGUUCCGAUAGGCAAAUCCGUCGGAAUAAUGCUGGGGUACGAUGCGGAGCGAAAUUAAGUAGCGAAGUAGCUGAUUUCACACUGUCGAGAAAAGUCUCUAUCGAGGUUAAAGGUGCCUGUACCGCAAACCGACACAGGUGGGUGAGGAGAGUAUCCUAAGGCCAGCGAGAGAACUGUUGUUAAGGAACUCGGCAAAAUGACCCCGUAACUUAGGGAGAAGGGGUGCCUCGAAAGAAGGCCGCAGAGAAUAGGCCCAAGCGACUGUUUACCAAAAACAUAGGUUUCUGCUAAGUCGCAAGACGAUGUAUAGGAGCUGACGCCUGCCCGGUGCUGGAAGGUUAAGGGGAUCUGUUAGAGCAAUCGAAGCAGUGAACUUAAGCCCCAGUAAACGGCGGCCGUAACUAUAACGGUCCUAAGGUAGCGAAAUUCCUUGUCGGGUAAGUUCCGACCCGCACGAAAGGCGUAACGAUUUGGGCACUGUCUCAACAACAGACUCGGUGAAAUUGUAAUACCGGUGAAGAUGCCGGUUACCUGCGACAGGACGGAAAGACCCCAUGGAGCUUUACUGUAGCUUGACAUUGAGUCUCGGUGCUACAUGUACAGGAUAGGUGGGAGACUAUGAAGCAUGGACGUCAGUCUGUGUGGAGUCAUCCUUGGGAUACCACCCUUGUAGUACUGGGAUUCUAACCAGAGGCCAUGAAUCUGGUCUUGGGACACUGUCAGGUGGGCAGUUUGACUGGGGCGGUCGCCUCCCAAAAAGUAACGGAGGCGCUCAAAGGUUCUCUCAGUACGGUCGGAAAUCGUACGAAGAGUGUAAAGGCAAAAGAGAGCUUGAUUGCAAGACAUACAGGUCGAGCAAGGACGAAAGUCGGACUUAGUGAUCCGGUGGUUCCGCAUGGAAGGGCCAUCGCUCA